rnacentral:ncRNA from 1 species
AAAUUAUGAGGUAGAGAAUGUGCUUCCGCGCACCCGUGUGGUCAAGAGAAAUGUGGGACACGGCACACCCACCAUAAUUU